AUCUAUGGCCAUACCACCCUGAACGCACCCGAUCUUGUCUGAUCUCAGAAGCUAAGCAGGGUCGGGCCUGGUUAGUACUUGGAUGGGAGACCACCUGGGAAUACCGGGUGCUGUAGGCU
rnacentral:rRNA from 1 species